rnacentral:rRNA from 1 species
CAAAAACANGUCCUUUUGAUUUUAAUAAAAGGUCUGGCCUGCCCAGUGAAUAAUUCAACGGCCGCGGUAAAUUGACCGUGCNAAGGNAGCAUAAUCAUUAGUCUUUUAAUAGAGGGCUGGUAUGAAAGGUUUGACGAAGAAUUUUCUGUCUCAUUUUAUUUGUUNUAAAAUUUAAUUUCUUAGUCAAAAAGCUAAGAUUAUGUUGGAAGACGAGAAGACCCUAUAGAUCUUUAUAUAUAAUUAUAAUAUUAAAUUUAAUAUUAAUAUUUAAUUAUUUAUUUUGUUGGGGUGACAAAAAUAUACAAUUAACUUUUUUAUUAAUUUUACAUUGAUUUAUGAAUAAUUGAUCCAUCCUUGAUGAUUAAUAGAGUAAGUUACCUUAGGGAUAACAGCGUAAUCCUUCUCCAGAGUUCAUAUUUACAGAAGGGCUUGCGACCUCGANGUUGGAUUAAGAUAAUAAUUAGGUGCAGCCACUUNAUUUAUAGGUCUGUUCGACCUUNAAAAUCUUACAUGAUCUGAG